CGGUGUUUAACUGGCGUGAUGUGGGACGUCCUACCGGUGGGCUUAGCCUCGCGAGGGGCGGCCCAACUAAUAUCCCGUCGCGGUGCUCUUUACUGAGUGUCGAGUCGGGCCGGUACGUUUACUUUGAACAAAUUAGAGUGCUUAAAGCAGGCUAUCCUCGCCUGAAUACUGCGUGCAUGGAAUAAUGGAAUAGGACCUCGGUUCUAUUUUGUUGGUUUUCGGAACCCCGAGGUAAUGAUUAAUAGGGACAGAUGGGGGCAUUCGUAUUGCGACGUUAGAGGUGAAAUUCUUGGAUCGUCGCAAGACGGACAGAAGCGAAAGCAUUUGCCAAAAAUGUUUUCAUUAAUCAAGAACGAAAGUUAGAGGUUCGAAGGCGAUCAGAUACCGCCCUAGUUCUAACCAUAAACGAUGCCAGCUAGCGAUCCGCCGAAGUUCCUCCGAUGACUCGGCGGGCAGCUUCCGGGAAACCAAAGCUUUUGGGUUCCGGGGGAAGUAUGGUUGCAAAGCUGAAACUUAAAGGAAUUGACGGAAGGGCACCACCAGGAGUGGAGCCUGCGGCUUAAUUUGACUCAACACGGGAAACCUCACCAGGCCCAGACACCGGAAGGAUUGACAGAUUGAUAGCUCUUUCUUGAUUCGGUGGGUGGUGGUGCAUGGCCGUUCUUAGUUGGUGGAGCGAUUUGUCUGGUUAAUCCCGAUAACGAACGAGACUCUAGCCUGCUAAAUAGGCGUACCUUAUGGUAUCGCGAAGGCCCCCGGCUUCGGCCGGUGGGUUUUUACUACCAACGUACAAACAAAUCUUCUUAGAGGGACAGGCGG
rnacentral:rRNA from 1 species